UGGUACCCAAAACCAGGUCUGAGGCACAGUCAGUGAAUACCUGUUUAAUGAAUGCAUGCAUAAAUGAAUGAAUGGAUGAUCCAGCUCUUCCUGGAGCAGGCACGACUUCCACAGAAACAGAGCAAACGCUAGCCGUAAGCAGAAAGAACGUUAUAGCUCCAGCGCUGAAUGAGACAUCUUUGAUUCUGUGGUGAUGCGGACUUUGUGCCUCUCUGUGAGGAAUCACUUUGUUCCAAUGACGCAAUUUUCCUCACACUCCGGAAGUGUCCUGCACUGCCAGAAUCGCCCAGCUUCCCGGCACACCUAUCAACCAGUCGUUCCCAGCACUGCCCAGUAUGCAGCCUCCAGGCAGAGGGCCUGGAUGUCUUGGCAGGUGUUUCCGAAAAAUCCAAUCCACCCUCCAAGGUGGAAAGUGUGCCAUCUCUGCCCAUAAUCCAAAUGGCGUGCCUGAGGCAUAGAAAGCAGCUUUCAGGGAGGCCUUCCUUCCUCUGAGCAAUGGUGGCAUCAUCAGAAAAGUGGAGCUCCUCCAAAAGGAUCUGCUGGAAGCAGAGGACGCCCAUGUCGCCUGGUGACUCCCUCUGACCCAACAAGUUGCAGCACCUCUGCUGGGCUUUGCCACUGCCCCAUUUUUGCCAGAGCCUCACCCUGGUGGGGCCCCACCUCUGGGAAGCCCCAGCGCCUGCAAGAUUUUUUCCUCUCGUGACAGGGAGCAGCAUGCGGAGGGCCCUUGCACAACCUGGGUCUUCAGGAAGUUCCUUGCCCAGGUGUUGGCCCAGCUCUCUUCAUGGUUCCAAGAAGGCUGCCCCAGGAAGGCUUGUGGACAGAGGGAGAAGCAUCUCUUCCUCUAUGUCUCUUUUUAUCUAAGAAACCAGUUUGACCAGC